rnacentral:lncRNA from 1 species
GGCUGAGUAGCAGUAACUCCUCUAUAUGUUCCAAAGCUUUCUGCCACACUGACUGCUUUUCUUCAGCACUGUAGCCAGGCAUGGACAGGAUGUUGUGAAUAUAGUUGAAAACUUCUUCCUUUCUCACUGGAUCACGCAGGUAACAGUCAAUGAUUUUGUCAUAGCGAAGCUCUCGUUCGUACAUGAACUCACAGAUCUGAUAGAAUUCAGCUUUUUCUGCCAUUUGGAUCAGACGGCUCUCUUCAAACUGCACU